GAUCUAUCCCAGUACUUCCCGCAAGACAGCAAUCUUCUGCACCAUAUCCUCUGGUGGCCUCUCCUUCUCUGUCCCCGUGUCUGCUUCAAUAACAAACAGCUGUUGCUGAGGCGUUGCUGUUGCUGUUGCUGUGUUAACCUUCGAAAACCCCCUCCAGUCACAGGAGAUGCCUCUUCCAGAGCAUGGAUCAUCAUCUAGGCAACAAGUGGCUUUGUUGCCAUAGAGACUCAGUCUCAAUCAGGUGAGGAGUGUUUGUUGGCUCGCAUCACGCCUUCUGGGAGUGCGACAAGGACUCUUCUCUACGUCAUGCAUAACUGCUGUUUGGUAGGCUGUGGGUAGGCCUUUUCCUGUGGGUUCGCUCUAAUCAGCGGAUCAGUAGCGAUACUAUCAAGACCUCUGUUGGAUACGUUAAUAGUGACAGACACACUUCCACAAUGAAUAACACAGUGUCCUCUUUGAGAGUCACAUUGUUUUGGUUGGGUAAGAAAGCACGGCAUUUGCUAGGGUUGGGAGGAAGGUUUGCCCUCACAUAAACACAUACGCCACAGUGCUUGUCACCACAAACUCUCUCGUUCCGAUUCUGAUCUUGACUUUCUGCAUAACCCUUUCUGGGUUCAUAUGCCCUUUGGCAAGUUUCUAAAGUUGCAGACAGCCACCCGUCUAUCUCACUUGUCACUUUUAACCAGCUAUCAGUCCAGCUUGCUGUUGCUCUUUUUAUCUGUAAGUGAGGAGGACUCUGGUAGUUAGGUGGUUGAUACAUUUGAUAAUCUUAAUUAAUUUGUCUACGUUUCCAUAGGACUCGAAACUCUAAAACAGAAAAGAGAGGAGAGAAAGAAACCUUCACAGGAGCUUAGCCAGGCAGAGGGCAUCUAAGCAGAAUGCCUAUAUUUGCAGUACGGAGGAUGCAUCUUCUCCAUGAGAAGCCCCCUCUCCCAGAUGGCCAGUCACCCCUGAAGCUCUCCCAGAAAAGAAACUCCACUACUGGACCCAGGUCUUCCAUUCAGUUCCGCCUGAGCUGCGUCUGCUCGCCUGCACAUGUGCUUCUUGAUUAGUGUAAGUGUGUCCUCAGCAGUGUGGUCCUAUAGCAAAACUCGGAACAUUGGUGAUGGUUCGGUGCUUCUCUCUUGUGGACUGCAUGUUCCACAAGGCUGAUUCAGCCCUAAAGACACCACCAUAUUCAAUCAGAAAAUCAGAAAUGGUGAAGAUGGGGAGCCUUCCUAAGUGAAAAUUAGCAGACUAUUUUAGAAAAAUCCAUACAAGACAAUUGUUGUAACUUCUCCUUAAUAAAAUGUUUGAAUUUUU